rnacentral:rRNA from 1 species
AACGGCUGGCGGCGUGCCUAAUACAUGCAAGUCGAACGGUCGUUUCUAUGGAAGCUUGCUUCCACUGAGAAGAUAGUGGCGAACGGGUGAGUAACACGUGGGUAACCUGCCCAUAAGAGGGGGAUAACAUCCGGAAACGGGUGCUAAUACCGCAUAGUUUUCUUGAUCGCAUGAUUGAGAAAGGAAAGACGGCCUUUGUGCUGUCGCUUAUGGAUGGACUCGCGGCGUAUUAGUUAGUUGGUGAGGUAACGGCUCACCAAGACGAUGAUACGUAGCCGACCUGAGAGGUGAUCGGCCACAUUGGGACUGAGACACGGCCCAAACUCCUACGGGAGGCAGCAGUAGGGAAUCUUCCGCAAUGGACGAAAGUCUGACGGAGCAACGCCGCGUGAGUGAAAGAAGGUUUUCGGAUCGUAAAACUCUGUUGUCAGAGAAGAACAAGUUGGAGAGUAACUGCUCCAGCCUUGACGGUAUCUGACCAGAAAGCCACGGCUAACUACGUGCCAGCCGCGGC